rnacentral:tRNA from 1 species
AUCCCCGUAGCUCAGUUGGUAGAGCAUGGUGUUUGCAAUGCCAGGGUUGUGGGUUUGAUUCCCACGGGGGGCC